rnacentral:lncRNA from 10 species
GCGCCCGCCCCGCCCCGCCGCGAUCCCAGUCCCAGUUCUGGGCGCGCAGCCCGCUGCAGUCAACAGCCCCUUUCUGGGCGGGGAUCUGUCCUGGCCGGAUGGGAGGAGGGAAGUGAAAAAAGCUCCCAGAAGUCUCUAAAUCAGUUUCAGUCUCGAGGUCCCCGGGCUGCUUCUUAUUUAUGAUCAGAUCAAGGGUAUAAGGUGUCAGUGGGGGCAGCCAGCAGUCAUAGGCCAGAGAGGGGCGACUGCCCGUCCCAAGGGCUUGUCACAGGCCCUGUGGACUUAAAAAGAGAAAUAAGACGCCGUCCCUGCCCUCGGGAGCUCCCGGCGCAUCUGCCCCAACAACUCGCUGAAGCCGCCUGCAGGACGCCUGAGUGAGGACAAGGUGUCUCACUCAGAAAAUUUGCUUGAUUCUUCCUGGCAAGUGGGACAGGGUGAGCUUCCCGGAGGAGGGGACCUUCGAGCUGUGUAGCGGGGAAGGUAGGAGAGCGAUGAGAGCGCCCGGAAGGGACAAGCAUUCGGGGAGACUGAAGCGCAUUCAACAACAUAUUUAUUGAGCACCUACUACGUCCAGGCACUGUUACAUCGGUGAUGUAACAAAAGCCGACAAAAACCCUCACCCCGAGCGCAGGCACCGCAGAGGGCGAUGACGACCCGAGAAGAUGCCGAACGCAGGCCAGGAGGGGGCUCUGGGGAAAAGCAAAGGCAGGGGAGGUUGCCCAUCGGGGAGCCUCGCGUCCCUGGGCCCUCCGUACUCUGCACAUAUGCAGAGGCCCCCACCCGUCCUGUAACCGCAAACUGCUUGGCGUGACUUGGCCAGCGGAGGGAGGAGCCCAGGCUGCAGGACAAGCAGGAGUCAGGGUCCCUGCAGUUGCUGGGGAAAGUGGACUCUUCUGGUAGCUGCUUUUACAGCCCCUGCCCUCAGAGGCCCCCCAGGUGGGAAGGGCCUGCCUCCUAGGCAGUGGGUGGUCACCGAGGACUGACUUUGAACCCGGGGCAAGGGAGCCCCAGAAGGCUGGAGGCCUGCACACGGCACUGGAAGAAACAAACUGCAAAGGCUGUCCCUCAGGGCUAUCUCCACAGCCACCGGAAUGCGGCCUGGAAUAUCCAAACCUGUCAGCCCACCUGCACCCAGCCAGACAGCGACCAUUCUAGCUGCUUCCCCGGAGGCCUGCUGACCCAGAGAGGUGUCAAAAAGCUGAAGCACAACAGACAGACCUCCCACAGACUCAGCAGGGAGUUGGAGGACAGUCGGCACACCAGCAGCUGUAGCCCAUCACCUCCCCCCUCCCCAUUCACCUGGUAUGCAGCACUUAAGGGCUUGCUGAAGCCCCAGCAAAGCAGAGGCCCACCUGAGAGCUUGGAAACACACCUAUGCCCCAGACCACCGCAAUCGCAAUCUCCAGUCAGCCCUGGCCACCACAGUGAACUGCCUAAGUGCCCCAGAUGACUGAGUCACAAGCCAGGGCUGGGAAGCACUGCAUGAAAGGCGGCCUUCUCUAGACAAGGCUGGACACACCCCUGCAAGGCCUGUCUCCUAGGAGCUGGGAUGAAACUCUGGACGAUGUGCUGGGAACAAAGAAAACCCACAUGGUAAAGGCUCGCUUUUCCUUGGGAAUCUGCAAUGCUUACAGAACGGGAAAGGCUGAAAGCCGCCCACAGUGCCGCACCUGGGCCUGAGGGCUGGUGUACCCACCCUCUCCCGGAGGAAACAAGACCCGUGACCAGACUCAAAACCACCUCACACCCUCACAAUCCUUACAGAAUAUUCAAAGACUGGCACUUCAACCUUACAACCUGAGCACGUCUAAAUGCCUAACACAAUACCAAGCACACUGUAUGCCACGCUUUUAAAAGGUAGAGAUCUUAAAAAAACAAAAAACACUACCUCGGGUAUGAAGACAGAUUUUAUGAUGCCAGUCAUUUCCAGAGGGGCUGCCCGCUGUGGCACAGCACCACCUGGUGGCCACCCCAACCCAUGCACCUCCCCCCAUCCCAGUACCCUGACAGCAAGCCAAUGAAAGAGGUGUUAAUAUGGCUAUUUUCCAACUGAGGAAACAGGCAAAAGUGUAGUCAUUUCUCCAAGUCAGUCAAGUUAGCGAGUGGUAGAUGUGCUAUACCUUGUUGCACCCAUUUUGGGACCUGUUUGAAUGGCAUGCCCCACCAUCGCUCCCACAUCUGCCAGUUAUGUUUAACCCCACGUGCUAUUUCCAUCAUGGCCUCCCCACAUCUUAUUUUCAAACAGGCUGAAAACAGAUGGCCUCAUUUGCCGACUGAGAUCAUGCUCAAGAUUAGGGAUGCACCGGGCACGGAGGCUCAUGCCUGUAAUCCCAGCACUAUGGGAGGCUGAGGCAGGCAGUGAAACCCUGUCUCUACUACAAAUACAAAAAUUGGCCAGGCGUGGUGAUGUGUGCCUGUAAUCCCAGCCACUCGGGAGGCUGAGGCAGGACAGUCGCUUGAACCCAGGAGGCGGAGGUGGUAGUGAGCUGAUAUCGCACCACUGUGCUCCAGGAUGAGCCACAGAGCAAGACUCCGUCUCAAAGAAAGAAAAAAAAAAAAAAAAAA